rnacentral:rRNA from 1 species
UACGUAGGAGGCGAGCGUUGUCCGGAUUUACUGGGCGUAAAGCGCGCGCAGGCGGCACACUAAGUACGAUGUGAAAUCUCCCUGCUCAACGGGGAGGGUGCAUAGUAAACUGGUGAGCUAGAGGACGGUAGAGGGGGGUGGAAUUGCUGGUGUAGCGGUGAAAUGCGUAGAGAUCAGCAGGAACACCCGUGGCGAAGGCGGCCCCCUGGGCCGAACCUGACGCUGAGGCGCGAAGGCUAGGGGAGCGAACAGG